rnacentral:misc_RNA from 1 species
GAUGAAGAACGCAGCGAAAUGCGAUAAGUAGUGUGAAUUGCAGAAUUCAGUGAAUCAUCGAAUCUUUGAACGCACAUUGCGCCCCUUGGUAUUCCAUGGGGCAUGCCUGUUCGAGCGUCAUUUGUACCUUCAAGCUUUGCUUGGUGUUGGGUGUUUGUCCCGAGGGACUCGCCUUAAAGUAAUUGGCAGCCAGUGUUUGGUUUUGAAGCCCAGCACAAGUCGCGAUUCAAGGCUACACGCCCGCUUCCACAAGCCUUUUUCACUUUUGACCUCGGAUCAGGUAGGGAUACCCGCUGAACUUAAGCAUAUCAAUAAGCGGAGGA